CACGUAGGGGCCAAGCGUUGUCCGGAUUUAUUGGGCGUAAAGAGCUCGUAGGCGGUUCGACAAGUCGGGUGUGAAAACUCCGGGCUCAACCCGGAGACGCCACCCGAUACUGUCGUGACUGGAGUCCGGUAGGGGAGUGGGGAAUUCCUGGUGUAGCGGUGAAAUGCGCAGAUAUCAGGAGGAACACCAGUGGCGAAGGCGGCUCACUGGCCCGAUACUGACGCUGAGGCACGAAAGCGUGGGGAGCAAACAGG
rnacentral:rRNA from 1 species